UACAGAGGGUGCAAGCGUUGUUCGGAAUUACUGGGCGUAAAGCGUGCGCAGGCGGUUUUGUAAGUCAGAUGUGAAAUCCCCGGGCUUAACCUGGGAACUGCGUUUGAAACUACAAGGCUAGAGUGUGGCAGAGGGGGGUGGAAUUCCACGUGUAGCAGUGAAAUGCGUAGAGAUGUGGAGGAACACCGAUGGCGAAGGCAGCCCCCUGGGUUAACACUGACGCUCAGGCACGAAAGCGUGGGGAGCAAACAGG
rnacentral:rRNA from 1 species